rfam:Picea glauca, whole genome shotgun sequence.
AAAUCGGCUUUUCUCAAGGCCAUCAAAGAAAAAAAAAGUUCUCCU